rnacentral:rRNA from 1 species
CCUACGGGUGGCAGCAGUGAGGAAUAUUGCACAAUGGGGGAAACCCUGAUGCAGCGACGCCGCGUGGGUGAAGGAGUAUUUCGGUAUGUAAAGCCCUAUCAGCAGGGAAGCUAAUGACGGUACCUGACUAAGAAGCCCCGUCUAACUACGUGCCAGCCGCCAGGGUUAUACGUAGGGGGCAAGCGUUAUCCGGAUUUACUGGGGGUAAAGGGAGCGUAGUCGGCAGCGCAAGCCUGGAGUGAAAGGAUGGGGCCCAACCCCAUGAAUGCCGUGGGAACUGUGCGGCUAGAGUGCCGGAGGGGUAAGCGGAAUGCCUAGUGUAGCGGUGAAAUGCGUAGAUAUUAGGAGGAACACCAGUGGCGAAGGCGGCUUACUGGACGGUAACUGACGUUGAGGCUCGAAAGCGUGGGGAGCGAACAGGAUUAGAUACCCGUGUAGUC